CUUUGACCUCAUAUCAACGUGCGUGUCUCUCUCCUCGGUACAGUUUGGCAGCGCAGGGAGACGCGGCACAGCAACCUGCGUUUUGCCCUGCAAAUGUCCCACGCGGCGCCGGAGCGCGAGGACUAAAUAACCUCGGUUUUAGGCUGAUUGCUGAAACAUUACUGUAACUCGGGAGGGGAUGAAGAAUCGCGCGUGGAUAACGUGACAGCUCGAUACGAAUUAUUUCACGCUCACGGAAGUGACUAAUACAUGCAUAUACUAUAUGUUGAUAUAUAUGAGCGAUUCAAUUUGCAGAUUUUCGUUUUUAUACGUCGGUUACGAGCAGUCAAAAUACUGUAUACAGGCAAGAUGGGAACAUUGAUGAUGAUGGUAUUGCUGGGAACGGUGGGGGCGCUAGCGGCAAAGGAGCACUGCGAGUCCGGGCAGUACACCUCGAGUGGGGAGUGCUGCUUGGAGUGCCCACCUGGGGAGGGCGUGCAGCAACGUUGUGGAUCGAAGCAGACCAUCUGCACAGUGUGUUUGGACAGUGAGACUUUCUCGGACAAGUACAGCCUGAGCGAGCCGUGCAGGUCAUGCACGGAGUGCGAGGGCCAGAUGCGCAUGCUGACCCCAUGCACGGACACCAACGACGCCAUCUGCGGCUGCAACUACGGCUUCUACAUGAACGAGACGACGGGCCGCUGCGAGCACUGCACCAGCUGCCUGCCAGGCCACGGCAUGCUGGUCCAGUGCGAUCACCACAGCGACACCCUCUGCGAGGUGUGCCCCGAAGACACGUUUUCCGAGACGGAGAGCAUGCUGGACCCCUGCCUGCCCUGCACCAUCUGUGACGACGAACCGCCGCUGGAGUUGUGCACCACCAUGCGUGACACCGUCUGCUACGAGGAACCCAGCAUCGAGACAUUUUCACCUCUGCCUUCGGUGGACUCGAUUUUGCCCUCCUUCACCGAUGCCCCUGAAGACACCGACAUCCUCUCCCCCACCGACACUACCACAGUGGGGAACCCCAGUUCCCCGCGGGUCGUCCACCAUGGCCUGAGCGAGAACCUCAUCCCCAUCUACUGCUCCAUCCUGGCCGCUGUGGUCGUGGGCUUGGUGGCCUUCAUCGUCUUCAAGAGGAGGCACAGGUGGAACAGCUGCAAGCAGAACAAACAGGCGGCCAGCAACCGCAGCGUGAGCCAGACGGCGUCCGCCGAGGGCGAGAAGCUCCACAGUGACAGUGGCAUCUCCGUGGACAGCCAGAGCCUGCAGGAGCAGCAGCAGCAGGCGCAGACCCCCACCCAGGGGCUGCCGCACACAGUGGUGAUGGUCGACGGGAGCCCCGGCUUUGCCUUGCCCCCCCACAAGAGCGAGGAGCUUGAGCAGCUCCUGGGGGGUGGCGGGGGUGACGGGACGGACGACGAGACGGACUGGCGCAGUCUGGCGAGCCUCCUCGGCUACCAGGAGGAGCACAUCACCGCCUUCGGCCAGGAGGAGAGGCCAGUGCGGGCCCUGCUCUCCCACUGGGCCGGGAUGGACAGCGCCAGUUUGGAGGCCCUGUGUGCCGCCUUGCGUAAGAUGGACCGCGGGGACAUCGCCCAGGGGCUCAGUCUCCACCCCGAUGCAGACCCUUCUGCUACCUCAGCCGUGUGAGACGUUAUCUGCUUUGGCUUCCAGAAGACGUUUCAUUGAUGGAGGAUGUAGCUUAACAUGUCAUUUCUCUUCAAUUCCUGCAAAUUGUUUCAAAGACAGGUCAACGGUUCAUCGUGAACAACUGUUCGCCCGCUCAGAGAUUGUGUCCAUUGGCGCCAUUUGCAGUCUUCCCCGGACACAACAUGGGCCUCAACCCCCCUCGCUGCCAUAGCAUCAGCCAUAAUUGGGGUUCUUUCCCAACAUUCUCCACCAUCCCUACUCUAGCAAGUAGCUUGUCCUCCAAAGAACCCAUCUCCGAUGGCACUGACUGUACCUACAAUCCCAAACGUCCCUCACUUCCAACCCCUUCCAUAAUCAACAGCCAGGCUUCCAUCAGCGUGGGUCAAACUGGGCCACAUGACCUUUUGUUUACUUCUUCUGCGCUUUGAGGUGGCCUGUUUUCUCACCCCAUUUCCCUUAUAAGCCCCAACCACUAGAAAAUGCUCCCCUUCCUUAACGGAUCUUCUUAAUGGACAAAUUAAUUUUAUUGUACAACUUGUGUGUCUAGUUGCUACAUCUGAUGUUUGUAUCUUUUUUUUUUCUCGUGACAUAAACCAAAAAGCUCCUCAUUAGCCACAUUUUGUAAACUGAUGUAUUCUAAGAGGGGUAUUAGGUUAGCUCUUGUCGAACCACAAAGGCAGGGCUGACACUAUAAUCUACACAUGUAGCAUUCCAACUGCUGUCAAUCACAGUUGUGCCACAUUUGAUGGUCUCAACUGUCUCUGAGAGGUAGGAUCUUGGAAUGGAUUGGAUCAUGGGAUCUUGGGGGAUUCUUGAAGGUAUUUGUAUCUUGAAGGCCAUCAACGCAAAUCUCUCCCAUUUAUAGACCAAUGCUUUUCAGUAUUCUGCAGUUUUCCAGGGUUUUAUGGGUUGAAUAUGCAAAACAUUGAAGUAAACCAUGCUGUGGUACCCAGUUCUUCAAGGAUGGCUGGAUGCAGAGAAUGGUUUGUGUCAGCAGAGCUGAGGGCAGCUGAGCCUGCAGAGAGUGACCCAGAGCACGUCCCGACAAAUGCGGACACGUGUGCAAUCGUAAAAGACUCGAAACCAGAAGUAUUCCACAAAGAUUCCCGUUAGACGUACUGAAAAUAUACCGUUUCACUCUUGCACUGUUACACUUAAACCAUUUUAGGGAUUUACCAGAUGUUGCAUGACUACCGAAACAGAUAAAUCUUAAUAUAAUCUUAACAGACAGGUGGGGCUGGCUUUGUCCCAGGAAUACUGCACACAGAGCAUAUUUGUCUUGCAUAUUACAGCAAGCAGCAUUUCUCAGCACCAUUACAGAGUUUAGAGGUUUAGAAUAAGAGUAUUUUCUGUAUACAGGACCGACUUUAUAAAGAAAAUGGGUUAGGGUUACGGUUAGGAUUAGUCAAAUGUAAGUCAAAUGUACUACACAUUUUCACAGUUAUCACACUGAGACUUUGCCAUUAUGCUCAAAAAUCAGGUUGGGAUCCAGGACUUAUUUCUCAGGGUUUGUUGUGUGUGCAUGCGUGUGUGUGUGCUCUAGCGCUUUGUCGUGCCUGUACGGAGAACCGGGAAGCUGAGAGGGUCAAGGAGACUCCAGAUUUGGCAUGGUGUCAGUCGUUACGCUUAGGAAACUGACACCGAGGGCAGAAGCACUCUGCCGCAGUAGUCUGACUGACUCAGGCCCAUUAGGAGAAGCUUGGUGGUGUGCUAUAUACCAGGAGGCCAUAGCAUGCUGUCAUCAGCGCCCCCUGAUGGUAGGAAAUGGAUACUGAAAGCGGGAUGUAACGGUGCAUUUUUGCAAAAGCCUUUUUCCUCGUGCUGCCUGUGUACCAGCAUGCCGGAAUCCAUCAGCAUGUCCUCAGAUGCUGGUCACAGCUGCUCUCUCGCCACGAUCUGGGACUCCUCGCGUCCGCGCAGCGUGUCAAUGCCGUUAAUUCCCUGGAAUGUUCCCGGUGGCUGUGGAGUGGUGUGGAUGUACGACACGACAUAUUCAUUGUGAGGAUCUACAAGACAGUAAAUUUCCAAACACUGCAUACACACCCCUGUAUAUAUGGAAAUACCCCAAAUGAGCUCUUUAUUUGGAAUACUUGUCUGUCGUGUUUGAUUUUAUAUAUAUAUUUUUUACUUUGUUACGGCUUUAUUUCGAUUAUAGCAUACUUUUUAAAAUGGUUAUUCUACAAGACUGAUUUAUAGCACUUAUUAGUGUAAAUACGUAUAUAUUCUGAAGCACAUAAUACCUAAACAAGUGCCUGGUAUUUGUGUCAGCUCUUCUUCAGUGUUUUUGUUUUAUUUUUUUUUUAAUAAAUCUGUUUUUUUGUUGAGGUUUGCUUGUUGAAGAUGUAGGACACCUUCCUGUACAAUGUUGACCGAGCCAUAGCCUUACUGGUGCUCUAGGGUCAAAUGCCGACAAAUGCCCCCCCCCCCCCCAUGCCUCUCAGGACGUGUAACAGCAAUUUCACACUCCCAUAAAACACAGCUUCAAUCACCCAGAAUCCUCUGCGGCGAGCGGAGGGCACGCUCUUCCGGUUGGCCCACUGCCGCCACUGUCACUGGUACUGUCAUAGCUUUCAAACGGCCAAACUGCCUGAUGCCUUUCUCCUAGUCUCACUGCACCGUUUCCCCCGGCAACUACAUGGACCCGUCGUCACAACAUCUGUUUUGCAGUGUCCUAUUACUAACAUUUUUAUCCUCUUCUGUCCAUUAAUAUAUGUAAUUGUUUGGUAACUCGAGUGUCAUCGAUGGAAAAUAGAACAUAUUUGCCUUUCCCAUCUUCUUCCACAGCAGUAUUAGCGCUUGAGCUCGCUGCGCUCCGUUCCAGGGGACAGACCGAUGCAGAGGGAGCAGUUUAGGGAUUGUCAUGGGGAACAGAAUGUCAAGUUAGGGCAGAAGGCAUCUUCGGGCAAAAGGUCAGGUGUCACAUGACUCUGCUGGAUGCAGUUCCGUUUGGCAGCAUAGUGAAUACAUCUAGCACCUGCUAUACAGGAAUGUAGCAUUCUGCUCUACAUCCUAUGUGACUGUGCUCUACUGGCCUGCAGCCCUGUGUAAAAUGUAUGUGUGUGACUGUGCUCUACAGGUCUGUAACCCUAUGUAAAACCUACCUGUGUGAGUGUGCCUUACUGGCCUGUAGCCCUGUGUAAAACAUACCUGUAUGACUGUGCUCUACAGGCCUGUAGCUCUGUGUAAAAUUUACCUGUGUGACUGUGCCCUACUGGCCUGUAGCCCUGAGUAAAACAUACCCGUGCAACUGUGCUCUACAGGCCUGUAGCCCUGUGUAAAACAUACGUGUGUGACUGUGCUCUACAGGCCUGUAGCCCUGUGUAAAACAUACGUGUGUGACUGUGCUCUACAGGCCUGUAGCCCUGUGUAAAACAUACCUGUGCAACUGUGUCCUACUGUACAGGCCUGUAGCCCUGUGUAAAACAUACCUGUGCAACUGUGUCCUACUGUACAGGCCUGUAGCCCUGUGUAAAACAUACCUGUGCAACUGUGCCCUACAGGCCUGAAGCAUUGUGUCUAUGUGACUUUAUGUAUGAAGUUUGUCUUACAGCCCUUCCCCUGAGGAUAGUUUAUAGGCAUCACUGUGCCACCCCUAACCACCCCCCCCCACCCCCCACACUGUUCUGGGGGGAGGAGUGAGGGUUGACUGGUAUUCAGAGCUCUGGGAAUAAAAGAUUUGAAAAGGAAUGUUCUCUGUACCUAGGCUUAGGAAUAAUGAAUUAUGUAUUAUCCUAAUGUAAAAUGACAAGAGAUGCACAGUUAACCACUGAAAAAUUAAAACGUAAAAUGACAAUGA